CAAAUACAUCACACUUAUAUAUUAUAACCAAAAUUUGCAUAAGCUUAAGCAUCCUAUAUAUAUCCAUUAGAUCAAAAGCAUAAAAACCAAGCUUAACCAAAAUGAAUAAGCCAUUUUUGCAUGACUCAUAUUUACAUACCCCAAAAUCAAGUAUAAUAACUAGUCUAUACAUGCCAUAAGUUCGAAUUCAAACUUAACAAUAUACCGAAAGGAGUCGAUAGUGUGAUAGAC
rnacentral:lncRNA from 1 species